GACGAACGCUGGCGGCGUGCCUAAUACAUGCAAGUAGGACGCAGUUGCGAACGGGUGAGUAACGCGUAGGUAACUACCUAUUAGAGGGGGAUCACUCUUGGAAACGCUAGCUAAUACCGCCUACUAGUAGAUGGACCUGCGUUGUAUUAGCUAGUUGGUAGGGUAAUGGCCUACCUAGGCAACGAUACAUAGCCGACCUGAGAGGGUGAUCGGCCACACUGGGACUUAGAACCGGCUCAGACUCCUACGGGAGGGAGCAGUAGGGAAUCUUCGGCAAUGGGGGGAACCCUGACCGAGCAACGCCGCGUGAGUGAAGAAGGUUUUCGGAUCGUAAAGCUCUGUUGUGAAGGAAGCGGUACUUAACCAGAAAGGGACGGCUAACUACGUGCCAGCAGCCGCGGUAAUAC
rnacentral:rRNA from 1 species